UACGUAGGGUGCGAGCGUUGUCCGGAAUUAUUGGGCGUAAAGGGCUCGUAGGCGGUCUGUCACGUCGAAAGUGAAAACUCAGGGCUCAACCCUGAGCCUGCUUCCGAUACGGGCAGACUAGAGGUAUGCAGGGGAGAAUGGAAUUCCUGGUGUAGCGGUGGAAUGCGUAGAGAAUCCGGAAGAACACCGGUGGCGAAGGCGGCCUGCUGGGACAAUGCUGACGCUGAGAACUCGAAAGCAUGGGGAGCAAACAGG
rnacentral:rRNA from 1 species